GAUGAACGCUGGCGGUAUGCUUAACACAUGCAAGUCGAACGAAAUACGAUGSBGUUUACUCUAUCGUAUGGCAGUGGCGGACGGGUGCGUAACGCGUAAGAACUUACCUUUUGGCGAGGGACAACCGCGGGAAACUGCGGCUAAUACCUCAUAGAGCUGAGGAGCGAAAGGUGAAAACCACCAAAAGAGAGGCUUGCGUCUGAUUAGCUAGUUGGUGAGSGUAAUGGCCUCCCAAGGCGACGAUCAGUAGCUGGUCUGAGAGGAUGAUCAGCCACACUGGAACUGAGACACGGUCCAGACUCCUACGGGAGGCAGCAGUGAGGAAUUUUCCGCAAUGGGCGAAAGCCUGACGGAGCAAUACCGCGUGGAGGAGGAAGGCCCGUGGGUCGUAAACUCCUUUUCUCAGAGAAGAACACAAUGACGGUAUCUGAGGAAUAAGCAUAGGCUAACUCCGUGC
rnacentral:rRNA from 1 species